UCGAUCUUCAACUGUCAAUAUCUUCUAAAAUAUUUCAAUAUUUUUCACGUACUCGCCAAGUGCGCCUCCAUAACCCUUUAAAAGGAAUGGCGCCAAAUUUGAAUCACCCUGUAUAUUAACGUAAUAGUUUUGUGUUUUUUGGGUACGCUACUGUUGCUUAUAGUUGAUACAGAUUUGCCUUAUCAAUUAUUGGUAUGAGUCUUAGAAUUAAGUGAAUGAUACUUGAAUUUUUGAAGCCCUCAAUGGAGCUGGCGUCACGUUUACCAUGACAAGGACAUAUUUAGCAUUCCUAUUCGCGAGCUCAAAAGUCCAUAGGCCCCCUGGUGGAUAAAAUUAGAACUACAAGUGAAGUAGUAAUUUGACACAUAUCUUGUUGACAUUGUUGUUUACAUCUUAUUGUGAUUUGUUUUGUUCUAAUCAAUUUUUGCAAGAAAUAGAAACAGAUCGGAAAGUGUGUGCUUCUCAAAAAUAUUUUGAAAUUACGAAAUUUCAAUGAGGAAACCUGAAUGAGAAGGACAUGUGCACUAACGUGGGAGACUAUUCGGAGAAAAUGAAAAUGUAUAUAUCUACAAAAUAAUUAGAUGCUGUACUAUUA